ensembl:snRNA U1 U1 spliceosomal RNA
CUACUGAUCUGGCAGGGGAAUACCACGACCAAGUAAGUGGUUUUCCCAGGGCUAGGCUCAUCCACAGCAUUCGGGGCAUGUAGACCCCUGUGAUUUACACAAAAGUGGGAAACUCAACUGCAUUAUUUGGAGUAGUAUGGGACUGCAUUGACACUUUCUCCUA